UCUUUCUUCUUGCAUUGCACAGCUCAGGGUCAGUCACACAGCUGCAGCUGGGAGCUGAGCUCUGGGCAGCACGGGGCAGGGCUGAUCCCAGCUCCCAUGUUUGUGCAUCUGUAGCCAUGGCAACUUUGUGGCUGCGUCUCUCCCCAGCUCCUGCAGUCCAGGGUGGGCAAGGAAAGUGCCCGUGCCUAGCAAGCUCCCCUGUCUGGUGUGGAUGUCACGUACAGGAUCUCUUAGGAUACAUCUGUAAUUGCCAUGUUCUCUUAAUUACUCCUUUUGAUUUCCCCGGUUCUGCUGUUGUGUUGAACCCAUCCUUGGGCAGAGGUCUGCGCAGCACCAUAGCCAUGCCACAGGCACGCAGGAUUGGGCUUGGUGAGAUGGCAAGUCAUCCUGCAUGGCAGCUUAAUGAGAGUUUAAAGGAGUGCCACAUAUUCUCCCACUUAAACUGCAAUAAACACAGGCAGUAACAGCACUAUUUCUCUUUUUAUACCUGGAUAGCAAUAUGUCUUCUUUUCAUUAGGCUUUCCUUUAGUUUGCAGUCACUGUAAAUAGCCGGGUGGCUGGCAUGCACUCUCCAUCACUGCCACAAGCUGAGCACAUAGGAUGUGCUAUGGAAAGUAAGGAGAUAUUGCUCCCUUGGCCUUACUGGCAACUCAAAUGUGGUGGGGGGUGUUGGUGGGCAAGAGCAGUGCCCACAGAAAAAAAGAUGCAGCGCUUGUGGGUUAAGGAAAAGCAG
rnacentral:lncRNA from 1 species